UUGUUUAGCUUUACUGGAGGUUCCUGGUUGCAGCGGGGAGAGUGGCCCAGCGUGACCCCGGCGCAGACCCCCUGCCUGGCCGCCUCCGGUACGGCGGAGGAAUGCAGCAGGAGGCCGGGGCGGCCGGACCCUCGCCCUGCGGGCGCUGCUCUCUGGAGGCCUGCACAAACACAGCCUGCUGGUGUGCGCCGGAGAGGAUUCAACAAGAAAAUGAGGUGUUCAGCCUAUGGCUGUCCCAGAUCCUUCCCACUCCUUAUCUGAGUACUUUUGGCCCCAUUUUCACUUUCUGCAGGCAGCAGAGCCUCAUCUGGCCCCUUGGCCACUUUUAAGUCCUGCUGUUGUAUUUGCCUGUGGUGUUUUUUCAGAAGACACUGAAAAAUAGGAAAACAGGCUUCGUAUGGUACCUGUAAUUGAAGAGGAGAAAUCUGAGAUUUCUGCAGGCAUUUAAGGACAUAUGUAUAGGAUUUAGUAGUGCUAUUGCCCUGUAAUUGUUAAUAACAGCAGAGUGGCUGGAGAAGUCCUUGAAGAACCUGAUCGAAUGCUCACCAAGGAAAUCUGCUCCCUGGCAUGGAUGUAGGUUCAAGCCAGGCAGACACAGCCUGGAGCUUUCCCUGCUUGCUCAAGGGGCUGCCUGAAAUUCUUGCCAUUAACUGUCCAUACCAUUGCUACUUGGUACAGUUCUGUCAUUUCUUCAAGGUGUGAGUUCUUUUUAUUUUUUCCUUAAAAAUAUAUUUACUACUGAAUUGUAGAGGAUAGAUUUUCAUUUUUCUUUGGGGUCUAACUCCACCGAGUUCCUUGGUGCAACAUUAGCAGGGGGUUAAGUACUCUGGCUCAUUUUUCUCAGGAUAACUUUAAAGCUCUGGUGGAGAUGAAGAGGUGAAGGCACUUAGCAUCCACGCUGCUCAGACAAAAGACUUCAGGUCUCAUCAAGUUGAAUUUAUCACUCUUCAAAAGAGUAGCCCUUCAAAUCAUUUAGAUCUGACCUUCUUCCCCUGGGAGAAUUCUUCUUACAAAACAGGUAUAUUUGAUACAGAAAAAUAGUUAUUCAUUACCAACUGGUAGGUCCUCUCUACCAGAUCACCUUUAAUCUGCAAGCCAAGCAAGAACAGGGAACAUACCUUAUUUUUUUUCCUUCUUUGUGUUUUGGAUGGUAAAUGUUGACUCUAUCUGAUAUCAGCAGUCAUGCAGAAGGUUGUUGCAGAAGACAGAAAAGCAGUGUUACCUCAGGACUUUUUCUCACAGGCAGAGUAGUUGGUAGGUUGGCCAAAACUGUCUUCACUCCUCAAAGGAAAAUGUAUUAAAAGAGAAAUGCAGCCCUUUCAUAUUGCCAGUGCUGUUCUGCUUGGAGAGAAAACUCCAUCAAUGCAACUCCCAUAAAGACAGAUCUCUGCCAAAUACAAUUUGGAGAUGCUGCGGGACUUGGGAAUUGGCCCCUCAUUAGAGAUACUGAGAUUUCUCUCUAGAAGGGCAGUUUUCCAGCCUAUGAAAAUUAAUGGGAGAUGUACAUGUAUAUGUGGGUAGAUUUCAGCUCCCAAAUAUACUACAAGGUGGGCCAAUCCACCAAAUUGCACUGAAUGUUGUUUCAUCACUCCAGAGGCUCCCUGCCUGGUGCCAAAUAUCUGCAGUUUGAACAUCUAUUAUACUAUUAGUGCUGCAGUGUAUCAACAGAUAACUCAGAUACAAUAUAGAAGAUAUAAUUCUCAAUAUUGUCCACUGAUUUAAAAUAUACG